rnacentral:rRNA from 1 species
CCUCUACUGCCCUGUAUACCCUCCAAAAUGCAUCUGGUCAUGCCUGCUUUUGGAAGCUAAGCAGGGGCCAGCCUGGUUAAUCCCUGGAUGGGAGACCACUAUGGAAAUCUCCAGGAAAGGA